rnacentral:rRNA from 1 species
AGUGAACGCUGGCGGCAGGCCUAACACAUGCAAGUCGAGCGGCAGCACGGGGGCAACCCUGGUGGCGAGCGGCGGACGGGUGAGGAACACAUCGGAAUCUACCCUGUCGUGGGGGACAACGUAGGGAAACUUACGCUAAUACCGCAUGAUCUGGAGACAGCAAAGCCGGGGACCUUCGGGCCUGGCGCGAUGGGAUGAGCCGAUGUCCGAUUAGCUAGUUGGCGGGGUAAGAGCCCACCAAGGCGACGAUCGGUAGCUGGUCUGAGAGGACGACCAGCCACACUGGAACUGAGACACGGUCCAGACUCCUACGGGAGGCAGCAGUGGGGAAUAUUGGACAAUGGGGGCAACCCUGAUCCAGCAAUGCCGCGUGUGUGAAGAAGGCCUGAGGGUUGUAAAGCACUUUCAGUGGGGAGGAGGAUACGUUGGUUAAGAGCUGAUGUAUUGGACGUUACCACAGAAGAAGCACCGGCUAACUCCG